GUUUCUGUAGUGUUAGUGGUGUAUCACGUUCUCUUUACACGCGAAAGGUCCCUGGUUCGAAACCGGGCAGAUGGCA